ACACAUGCAAGUCGAAGCGGCAGCACAGAAGAACUUGGUUUCUCGGGUGGGCGAGCGGCGGACGGGUGAGUAAUGCCUGGGAAAUUCGCCCUGAUGUGGGGGAUAACCAUUGGAAACGAUGGCUAAUACCGCAUGAUGCCUACGGGCCAAAGAGGGGGACCUUCGGGCCUCUCGCGUCAGGAUAUGCCCAGGUGGGAUUAGCUAGUUGGUGAGGUAAGGGCUCACCAAGGCGACGAUCCCUAGCUGGUCUGAGAGGAUGAUCAGCCACACUGGAACUGAGACACGGUCCAGACUCCUACGGGAGGCAGCAGUGGGGAAUAUUGCACAAUGGGCGCAAGCCUGAUGCAGCCAUGCCGCGUGUGUGAAGAAGGCCUUCGGGUUGUAAAGCACUUUCAGUAGGGAGGAAGGUGGUGCUGUGAAUAGCAGCAUCAUUUGACGUUACCUACAGAAGAAGCACCGGCUAACUCCGUGCCAGCAGCCGCGGUAAUACGGAGGGUGCGAGCGUUAAUCGGAAUUACUGGGCGUAAAGCGCAUGCAGGUGGUUUGUUAAGUCAGAUGUGAAAGCCCCGGGCUCAACCUGGGAACUGCAUUUGAAACUGGCAAACUAGAGUACUGUAGAGGGGGGGUAGAAUUUCAGUGUAGCGGUGAAAUGCGUAGAGAUCUGAAGGAAUACCGGUGGCGAAGGCGGCCCCUGGAAAGAAUACUGACACCUCAGAUGCGAAGCGGUGGGGGGAGCAAACAGAUAGAAUACCCUGUAGUCCACGCCGUAACGAUGUCUACUGAGUGGUGUCUUGAACACUGCUUCGGAGCUAACCGCGUUAAGUAAACUCGCCU
rnacentral:rRNA from 1 species